AGUCCACUCUCAUCUCUCUCUCCCCAUCCAGGGGAAUGGAUCAGGAUGGUCACCUCCUGUGCUGCACAAGAGUCCUCAGACAUACUGUGAUUGCCAAGUGCCUGUUGUUGCAGGGUCUCAUCUCAAUUUCCCUGAGAGUGCACAGGGAAACUCGUUGUGUGCCAAGGGAGUUUGGAGAAGUAUGGCAGUAAAAGUGGGAUCUGUCUACAUGAGCAAGCACAGGCUGGACAUAGAUUCCCCUCUCACCCUCACGUAUGUAGCAGCUGUGUAGCUUGGCCUUCAUACAAGUCCUCCGCUAACUGGAGCUGGGGCUGCUCCUGACUCUAUUGCCUCAACAGGAGAGGGUGUGUUCAGUCUGGCUGGGACUUGAUGU
rnacentral:lncRNA from 1 species